GAAGUCUGCACGUGCGCGCAACCUUCAGGCCUCAUGAGUUCGCAGCAAGCGUGGGUUUCUCCUCAACUGGGCCAGCAGCUAUUGCUGGGCUGUGUGUUCAACCCAGUUUCUUCUCCCUCAGGUACGGAUAUGCUAGAUCGGGCCAUGGAAUGUGGGCCGAUCUUCGGGUCUUCCCAAUGGGCCUUGGUCAGCCAUCUGCAAGGGCAUGCGGCAUGGGCUACAUAUUUUUCUCGAGCGCACGGCUUGCUAGGCUGCGGGUUAGGCCUAGCAGGCCGAUGGCGGGCCGGGGGACUCGGGUCGCUCGCCCGUAAGUACCUCCUCUCUUUGUGUUGUGUCAGACACACUAUAUUCAUCUUCUAGGAUCAAUAUAAAAGCCCACAACUCAUAAUCAUUGAUGCCUCCUUGUGUCGGUCGUCUCAGUGG
rnacentral:lncRNA from 1 species